GAUGAACGCUAGCGACAGGCCUAACACAUGCAAGUCGAGGGGCAGCGGAGAGGUAGCAAUACCUUUGCCGGCGACCGGCGCACGGGUGAGUAACACGUAUGCAAUCCACCUGUAACAGGGGGAUAACCCGGAGAAAUCCGGACUAAUACCCCAUAAUAUGGGCGCUCCGCAUGGAGAGCCCAUUAAAGAGAGCAAUUUUGGUUACAGACGAGCAUGCGCUCCAUUAGCCAGUUGGCGGGGUAACGGCCCACCAAAGCGACGAUGGAUAGGGGUUCUGAGAGGAAGGUCCCCCACAUUGGAACUGAGACACGGUCCAAACUCCUACGGGAGGCAGCAGUGAGGAAUAUUGGUCAAUGGUCGGCAGACUGAACCAGCCAAGUCGCGUGAGGGAAGACGGCCCUACGGGUUGUAAACCUCUUUUGUCGGAGAGUAAAGUACGCUACGUGUAGCGUAUUGCAAGUAUCCGAAGAAAAAGCAUCGGCUAACUCCGUGCCAGCAGCCGCGGUAAUACGGAGGAUGCGAGCGUUAUCCGGAUUUAUUGGGUUUAAAGGGUGCGUAGGCGGCACGCCAAGUCAGCGGUGAAAUUUCCGGGCUCAACCCGGAGUGUGCCGUUGAAACUGGCGAGCUAGAGUACACAAGAGGCAGGCGGAAUGCGUGGUGUAGCGGUGAAAUGCAUAGAUAUCACGCAGAACCCCGAUUGCGAAGGCAGCCUGCUAGGGUGAAACAGACGCUGAGGCACGAAAGCGUGGGUAUCGAACAGGAUUAGAUACCCUGGUAGUCCACGCAGUAAA
rnacentral:rRNA from 1 species